rnacentral:rRNA from 1 species
UUGUUGAGAAUCAUAUUAUUUUAAAUCGUUGUGUGGGCCUAAAAUUAGCCAUUACAAAAGUUUGUUAUAAAAUAACGAAGCGUGGAACUAAAAAUAUUACUAUAUGUAUAUUCCCUAUAAACUUAUAAGAACAAUAAUCUUAACUAAAAGAUUAAUAUGCCUAUGCUAGGAUGAGUAUUAUAAAGUGUUUAUAUAUUGAAUAAACCAAUAUUCCUACAAAGAUAUUUUUUAAAAAAAUUAAGGAAAAGGAACUCGGCAAAUAUUGUUUCGCCUGUUUAUCAAAAACAUGGCUCUUUGAGGGAAAAACACAUAAAGAGUCGAACCUGCCCAGUGAAGUUUUUUAAACGGCCGCGGUACCCUGACCGUGCAAAGGUAGCAUAAUCAUUUGCCUUAUAAUUGAAGGCUGGCAUGAAUGGUCUGACGAAAGCAAUACUGUCUCUUCCUUAUUUUCUAGAAAUUAACUUGUAAGUGAAGAGGCUUACAUUAAAUUGAAG